rnacentral:rRNA from 1 species
GACGAACGCUGGCGGCGUGCUUAACACAUGCAAGUCGAACGGAAAGGCCCUGCUUUUGUGGGGUGCUCGAGUGGCGAACGGGUGAGUAACACGUGAGUAACCUGCCCUUGACUUUGGGAUAACUUCAGGAAACUGGGGCUAAUACCGGAUAGGAGCUCCUGCUGCAUGGUGGGGGUUGGAAAGUUUCGGCGGUUGGGGAUGGACUCGCGGCUUAUCAGCUUGUUGGUGGGGUAGUGGCUUACCAAGGCUUUGACGGGUAGCCGGCCUGAGAGGGUGACCGGCCACAUUGGGACUGAGAUACGGCCCAGACUCCUACGGGAGGCAGCAGUGGGGAAUAUUGCACAAUGGGCGGAAGCCCGAUGCAGCAACGCCGCGUGCGGGAUGACGGCCUUCGGGUUGUAAACCGCUUUCGCCUGUGACGAAGCGUGAGUGACGGUAAUGGGUAAAGAAGCACCGGCUAACUACGUGCCAGCAGCCGCGGUGAUACGUAGGGUGCGAGCGUUGUCCGGAUUUAUUGGGCGUAAAGGGCUCGUAGGUGGUUGAUCGCGUCGGAAGUGUAAUCUUGGGGCUUAACCCUGAGCGUGCUUUCGAUACGGGUUGACUUGAGGAAGGUAGGGGAGAAUGGAAUUCCUGGUGGAGCGGUGGAAUGCGCAGAUAUCAGGAGGAACACCAGUGGCGAAGGCGGUUCUCUGGGCCUUUCCUGACGCUGAGGAGCGAAAGCGUGGGGAGCGAACAGGCUUAGAUACCCUGGUAGUCCACGCUGUAAACGGUGGGUACUAGGUGUGGGGUCCAUUCCACGGGUUCCGUGCCGUAGCUAACGCUUUAAGUACCCCGCCUGGGGAGUACGGCCGCAAGGCUAAAACUCAAAGGAAUUGACGGGGCCCCGCACAAGCGGCGGAGCAUGCGGAUUAAUUCGAUGCAACGCGUAGAACCUUACCUGGGUUUGACAUGGAUCGGGAGUGCUCAGAGAUGGGUGUGCCUCUUUUGGGGUCGGUUCACAGGUGGUGCAUGGCUGUCGUCAGCUCGUGUCGUGAGAUGUUGGGUUAAGUCCCGCAACGAGCGCAACCCUUGUUCACUGUUGCCAGCACGUUAUGGUGGGGACUCAGUGGAGACCGCCGGGGUCAACUCGGAGGAAGGUGGGGAUGACGUCAAGUCAUCAUGCCCCUUAUGUCCAGGGCUUCACGCAUGCUACAAUGGCUGGUACAGAGAGUGGCGAGCCUGUGAGGGUGAGCGAAUCUCGGAAAGCCGGUCUCAGUUCGGAUUGGGGUCUGCAACUCGACCUCAUGAAGUCGGAGUCGCUAGUAAUCGCAGAUCAGCAACGCUGCGGUGAAUACGUUCCCGGGGCU